rnacentral:rRNA from 1 species
AGUGGCGGACGGGUGAGUAACGCGUGAGAAUCUAGCUUCAGGACGGGGACAACAGCUGGAAACGGCUGCUAAUACCCGAUAUGCCGAAAGGUGAAAAGUUAUUUCGCCUGGAGAGGAGCUCGCGUCCGAUUAGCUAGUUGGUGGGGUAAAAGCUUACCAAGGCAACGAUCGGUAGCUGGUCUGAGAGGAUGAGCAGCCACACUGGAACUGAGACACGGUCCAGACUCCUACGGGAGGCAGCAGUGGGGAAUUUUCCGCAAUGGGCGAAAGCCUGACGGAGCAACGCCGCGUGGGGGAAGAAGGUUUUUGGAUUGUAAACCCCUUUUCUCAAGGAAGAACAAAAUGACGGUACUUGAGGAAUCAGCCUCGGCUAACUCCGUGCCAGCAGCCGCGGUAAUACGGAGGAGGCAAGCGUUAUCCGGAAUUAUUGGGCGUAAAGCGUUCGUAGGCGGCUGUUCAAGUCUGCUGUCAAAGACCGAGGCUCAACCUCGGGUCGGCAGUGGAAACUGGAUAGCUAGAGGUCGGUAGGGGCAGAGGGAAUUCCCAGUGUAGCGGUGAAAUGCGUAGAUAUUGGGAAGAACACCGGUGGCGAAAGCGCUCUGCUGGGCCGAACCUGACGCUGAGGGACGAAAGCUAGGGGAGCGAAUGGGAUUAGAUACCCC